AGUUGAAGGGAAUCAGGGGAAGCUUUCUAAAGGAAGUGGCAUUUGGUCUAUACGUUGAGGGGCAGGUAAAUAUCUGAGUGGAAUGACUGGAUCAUAUGGGGUGAGACAAAAUGUGCCAUGAGUGAUGGCCUUUGGUGAUCUACAGACAUCCCUGGCUCUAGCAAUCAUUUGUGUAGGGAGGUAAGCAGACAAGUCAUUGCCAGGAGACUUAGAUUCUUGUCUUGUCCCUUCCGCAAACUAGCUGUGUGACACUGAGAAAGUCUCUUAAGCUCAUAAUAACUGGAUUUCCUGUUCCAUAAAUGAAGAGGCUGGCAUCUCAGGUUCCUUCUAAGUUUCAAAUUAUAAUUUUGACACCACUGAGUAUGGAUGUUUUAAGAACCUGAAGGAAAGAGAGAUCCAUUUGAUCUGGAGCUGGUAGAAAAGCCAUCAAGGAGUAGCUGGGAGAGGAAACAGGCGCCUCGGGGGAAGACUUCAAGAAAAGGCAGAGGGUUGGAGUGAGAGGUAGAGACAGUAGAGAAAAAAAGCCUGGGGCUGGGGAAGGCGUGGUGGGGUAGGGGGUGGUUCCACAUCUUUCACCCACAGGAACUCCAGCCCAUGAAGAUCCUGGCACAAGUUUCUGCUUUUAAGGUUGUUCUGUGGAUGAAACUCCCGAAAGCUGUCGGUACCAUUAGGAAAUGAUUAGCUAUUAAAUGCCAAAUCUGCUGCCUUACAGUAUAGUUACUCGUUAGUGUUUUAAGGGGAUGUUAUGCUUGUUGUUUUCUUAAACUAGUAGGCAGACAAGAGGAGAGCAAA
rnacentral:lncRNA from 1 species